GAUGAACGCUGGCGGCGUGCCUAAUACAUGCAAGUCGAGCGAACGGACGAGAAGCUUGCUUCUCUGAUGUUAGCGGCGGACGGGUGAGUAACACGUGGAUAACCUACCUAUAAGACUGGGAUAACUUCGGGAAACCGGAGCUAAUACCGGAUAAUAUUUUGAACGGCAUGGUUCAAAAGUGAAAGACGGUCUUGCUGUCACUUAUAGAUGGAUCCGCGCUGCAUUAGCUAGUUGGUAAGGUAACGGCUUACCAAGGCAACGAUGGAUAGCCGACCUGGGAGGGUGAUAGGCCACACUGGAAGUGGGACACGGUCCAGACUCCUACGGGAGGCAGCAGUAGGGAAUCUUCCGCAAUGGGCGAAAGCCUUACGGAGCGACGCCGCGUGAGUGAUGAAGGUCUUCGGAUCGUAAAACUCUGUUAUUAGGGAAGAACAUAUGUGUAAGUAACUGUGCACAUAUUGACGGUACCUAAUCAGAAAGCCACGGCUAACUACGUG
rnacentral:rRNA from 1 species